rnacentral:rRNA from 1 species
UCCUGCACUACAUAUCCUAAAGGCACCAGAUCUCAUCUAAUCUUAGAAGCUAAGCAAAAUCAGCCCUGAUUUGUACAUGGAAAGGAGACUACCAAUGAAUAUGAGGUUUUGUAGACU